UCCUAUGGCUGGGACUUGGUGAGGGAGCGCUUGCGCUCGCCGGUUCCUUUGCUCCGGUACGCCAACCUCGCCAUGCUCCCGGCCACCACG
rnacentral:antisense_RNA from 1 species